CCUACGGGGUGCAGCAGUGAGGAAUAUUGGUCAAUGGUCGAAAGACUGAACCAGCCAAGUAGCGUGAAGGAUGACUGCCCUAUGGGUUGUAAACUUCUUUUAUAUGGGAAUAAAACGUUCCACGUGUGGUGUUUUGUAUGUACCAUAUGAAUAAGGAUCGGCUAACUCCGUGCCAGCAGCCGCGGUAAUACGGAGGAUCCGAGCGUUAUCCGGAUUUAUUGGGUUUAAAGGGAGCGUAGGUGGAUUGUUAAGUCAGCUGUGAAAUUCUGGGGCUCAACCGUAGAAUUGCAGCUGAAACUGGCAGUCUUGAGUACAGUAGAGGUAGGCGGAAUUCGUGGUGUAGCGGUGAAAUGCUUAGAUAUCACGAAGAACUCCGAUUGCGAAGGCAGUUUACUGGAGUGCAACUGACGCUGAGGCUCGAAAGCGUGGGUAUCAAACAGGAUUAGAUACCCGUGUAGUC
rnacentral:rRNA from 1 species